GUGUGGAGACAUGUAUCUAAUAAAGGCUAGCAUUAGACGUGUUUUCAUGUAACUGGUACUAGCACUAGCUACAGUAGCAAAAUCACUUUUUAGGUUUACUGUUGUUGAUCAAAACUUGCUGGUCAAGUAUCUUCCUGUUUGUAUUGUAAACCUCACGAUUAAACGUUACAUAACUGCACCUGAUGUAUACAAUUCUCCGUGUGCAUGUUAGUUCUUCUCGCUUUCUUUCUCUGACCUGGUAGCACCGUCAGGUAGGCACUCCUGAAGCUGUAGCCCAUGGUAUUGGCUCCCAGGCAGAUGUACAUGCCGGCAUCCUCCUCCUUGGCUCUGGUUAUCAGCAGCUUGUUGAGGUUCAACUCUUUUAAGCCACUGAAUAACCGGCUUGACGUCACUGCGGACUUUACACUGGAAAGAUGUGGUUCCUCCGUAGUCCACGGUGGUGUUGACAGGUUUUCUUUCUAACAGCUGUGAAUGACUGACAGCUGAGUGAAUCUCUACUGAUCGAGAAAAUGUCACAUUUGACAUAAGCGAGCAGUGGCUUGAUUUACUUCCUCUGUGACUGGACACUUCAACUGGGCAGAUUCUUCCUUGCAUUAAGCUUCACCCAGUCUUCAAAAGGAAAAAACAACUUAUCAAAGUUGAUUAAGGUGGCAUUGAUCUCUCCUGCUCUGUUUGAGACGUGGCAGGUGUACUUCCCGCUGUGCUCUGGCAUCAGGUUCUUCAGACUCAGGGUCCAUUUCUUCUUCUUCCCUUCCCCUCCUGCUCCACCGUCCUCGUCCAUCAGCGGCCGACUGUCCUUCAGCCAGACAAUGUCGGGGCGAGGGUUUCCGCUUGCUGUACACUUCAGACGCACUGAGCUACCCACUGGGCGAGCGAUGACGCGCUUCCUCAUCUUUGAUGGCUGGGUGAAACGUGGACGUACUGUAAGUGGAGAGAGGGUGAAAGGGAAAAUUUAAACCUAAUAACAAAGAAAUAUAGUAUUUUGAAACAAGUUGUAUUGGUAUUGAUUGCCUCUAAAAUAUGGAUGCUUAAUGUAGCGUUAGUCUGGAUACAAAUGUAAACCAAAAGAAUGUGUGUAAAUGUAAAGAGAUAAAUAACACAGAAACACUCUUUCACCCUCUCAGUCAGCGACAGGUGGGGAAAAAGAAGGGUAGGAAAAUAAAGGAAAGAACAGAAGAAGUUAUUGGCAGAGAAAUGGUUUACAGAGCAGUUUUAUAUUUACAAGCAGUGUUCUGUUCUUCAGACCAGUGGAAAGAGAACGGAUUGGGAAAGAAUGUGGAGUCUUAUAUGAGAUGUACAGAGCGAUCAAAGCCAGAGUAUUCAGAAAGGUUUUAUGCCUCAUGAGUUACAGUUUUUAUUAAGUCUUUACCUCCAAAAAAGUAACUCUUUUUGCUUUCAUUGAUUUUAAAAGAUAUUACUGUAUUUUACUUUGUUUUUUAUUUCAUUUAUUUGAAUUUAUAUUGCUCUAAAAACACUUUUGUCCAACUCCAUUGUUCUACCUCUUUGGAAUGCACUAGUCGAUUAGGCAACAAGCACAUUUUCAUCAUUUCAGAAAAUUCAAGAUGUCAGUAUGGAGACUGUGCAUUAUCCAUAGGGUUCCCUGAAAUGUUAGAAACUCUCACACAGAUAUUGUAGCUUGCUGCUUGGCUUUAUGAACACUGUUGUUUUAUGUUUUCAUUAACAAUUUUACAUUUUAUUGGUUGAAUCCUUUUUUAUGCAUGAAGACAUAUGCAGCAAACUAAUGUGAUUACAAUAAAAUUUUCUGCCCCAU